rnacentral:rRNA from 1 species
CCUGGAAUGGUUUGUGUUCCAAAUGAUUUAUCGCCGUAGGAUGGGACUGCGGCCUAUCAGUUUGUUGGUGAGGUAAUGGCCCACCAAGACUAUUACAGGUACGGGCUCUGAGAGGAGUAGCCCGGAGAUGGGUACUGAGACACGGACCCAGGCCCUAUGGGGCGCAGCAGGCGAGAAAACUUUGCAAUGUGCGAAAGCACGACAAGGUUAAUCCGAGUGGUUUGUGCUAAACGAACCUUUUGUCGGUCCUAGAAACACCGAUGAAUAAGGGGUGGGCAAGUUCUGGUGUCAGCCGCCGCGGUAAAACCAGCACCUCAAGUGGUCAGGAUGAUUAUUGGGGCCUAAAGCAUCCGUAGCCGGCGCUGUAAGUUUUCGGUUUAAUCUGUACGCUCACGUACAGGCUGCCGGGAAUACUG